GGAACGGGGCCCACUCGCUCAGGCUUCGCGAGCGGCAAGCCGUCGGUUCGCACACCGAAUGACACGAAAGUCUCCUUUAGCCAAGAGGAUAAACAAGAUGAUCCAGGCUACAACUCCUUACAACAGCUUAAUCUUAAACUAGAAGAGGCACCACUUCUAUGUAAUCUCCCAAU